AGGCCAGUCAGGGAAAAUGGCGGCGGCAGGGAGGACCACAUGGUGAAGUGGAGACUCUGUCACUGUCAGGAGGCGGCAGCUUGCAUUUGUAUAGUCGUGUGAAAUGCAGGCACGAGUGCAGUUGGGGAGCGGUUUGGAGUCUCGAAGUGGGUGCUGUGGGAUGACUUCCUGCUCGUGGAAACUGCAAAGCAGAAUGAAGGCUGCGAUUCCCUAGAUCGCAGAGAUGUUAAGAUACUGUGGUAAAGCCAAUGGUGCCCGAUGAGGUCUGCCAGUACACGCACGCUCAUGUUGUGAUGCCUGUGGGGGUCCCGUUGCCUCCUGACAGGUGCCUGAAGAGCCAACAGAGCACAGUCCUCCGAUUCUUCAACAACAAACCCACGCGUCCAGAAACUCGAGCCAUCCUUCCAUAUAUCAGACUCCUCUGACCCCCUUGGCAUUGUGGUAGCCCACAAACCUACCAACUGCUACUGGUGAACCUAAAGGACACUAUACCCACAACCAGCAAAACGAAUGUCAUUUACAAAAUACCGUGCAAGGACUUUAACAGAUACUACAUCGGACAGACAGGCAGGAAACUAGCCACCAGGAUAUACAAACACCAACUAGCCAUCAGAAGAUAUGACCCACUAUCACUUGCGUACAGACGAAGAUGGGCACCACUUCGACUGGGUCAACACAUCCGUCCUGGGACAGGCUAAACAGAGACGCGCACGGGAAUUCCUAGAAACCUGGCAUUCCGACGGGAACUCAAUCAACAAACACAUCGAUUUGGACCGCAUUUCUGAGAAGCAGAACCGGGAAUGAUGCCCCCCACCACAACAGCCCAAGACGGACAAGCGAGACGGAACCCCAGCGCUUCACCCGAGGCUCACUGACGAUGUCACCGAGGUACGGUGACGUAACGUCUGAGAACAGACCGUCCAGCUUAGCCAGCCAACUUCCGACCUGGACCUCAAGCUGAGCUACCGAUCUUCUCCAAAAUGGCAGAAGACAGAGUUUCGGAAGAGGAAGUUGCCAUUGACUGCUCUCCCAGAGUUUCCUAACUGGACAGAACCACCCCAGGUUGCAGUUUGGAGCUGAGGAAAGGGAGCUGGAGGCAAGGUGGAACCCAGCUCUGGCUCCUGCUGUACAAUAAAAGCUAGAAAUACA